ensembl:lncRNA
AAGACACAGACCGCUAGUCUAUCAAAUCCCUUUCAUCUUCUCUUGAAGUCACAGAUCUCUCCACAGGUUUUCAAUAGGAUUUAGAUCUGGCCACUUCACAACAGUCCAGCGUUUUGUCUUGAACCAUUCCUGGGUGAUCUUUUAAGUAUGCUUGGGAUCAUUGUCCUACUGAAAAUUCCAUGACCUUCAACAGAAACAUAGCUUUUUGAUACUGGGUUAAACAUUGAGCUGCAAAAUGCCUUGGUUUUUUUAUUUGGUCUCAUCUGUCCACAGGAGAUUGCCCCAAAAGGAUUGUGGAAUGUUCAGGUGUGUUUUGGCAAAUUCCAGUCAGGCUUUCUUACAACUCUCUUUUGGCAGUGGGUGUCCUACCAUACCACAACACCCUUAACUGAGUUGGUGAUGGAUGGAUCAAGUUUAAGCUAUUGUACCAGUCCCAAGGCGUCACCUCCUUCCAGUCCUCCAUCUUCUCUGGAUCCCUGUGCCGUGCAGGCUGUUGCAUUUCUAUGUUCAGUGUCUUUUGUUUCAGUUUCUAUGUUCUUUGAUUGGUUUCACCACCGUCUAGUUUUUGGCCCUCGUUAUGUCCCUGUUCAAGUUCCUUCAUUCCUAGUCUUUCUUGUCAGUCAUUGUUUCAUGUGCCGUUCCUGCCCGAGUCCUUGUUUAUUGCAGUCUGUUUAUUAAAAUAACCGUUUGUCUGAACACCUCUGUGCCUAUGACCUGCAACUGCCUCCUGAACAAUGUUACACUUUUCUUUCUCAAAAAUGCUGCGAUGUCACUU